GAGGCCUUCUUUCGUUUUUUUCUCUCCUGCUUGUGUCUCUCCUCCUUGCUAAGGUUCAAGGGAUUCGCUGGGACAGAGAGUCUCUAACAGUUCAGAAACAAGCACAACAUGAUGAAGAAAGUACCUCGAUGGAAAAAAGCAAUGGAGAAGCUGAGGAGGUUAUUCUCUGCAAAGACGACCAAUGCACAGGAAAGAUAAAGAGUAGGAAACUUGUUACCACAUCCAUUUCAUCUUCCAACGAACUUUCAAAGAAUAAAGUGAAGAAGGAAGAGGAUG